GCCUUCCUACUGUAACUGGAAGCAUACUCGACUCGUAUUCGAGAGGUCCAGAGUUCGAAUCCUGGCGAGGGCA
rnacentral:tRNA from 1 species